GUGCACCAGGCGAGAAACCUCCGCAAUGCGGGAAACCGCGACGGGGGACCCCGAGUGCCGUGGCAACGCCACGGCUUUUCCGGAGUGUAAAAAGCUCCGGGAAUAAGGGCUGGGCAAGGCCGGUGGCAGCCGCCGCGGUAAUACCGGCGGCCCGAGUGGUGGCCGCUAUUAUUGGGCCUAAAGCGUCCGUAGCCGGGCCCGUAAGUCCCUGGCGAAAUCCCACGGCUCAACCGUGGGGCUUGCUGGGGAUACUGCGGGUCUUGGGACCGGGAGAGGCGGGGGGUACCCCUGGGGUAGGGGUGAAAUCCUAUAAUCCCAGGGGGACCGCCAGUGGCGAAGGCGCCCCGCUGGAACGGGUCCGACGGUGAGGGACGAAGGCCA
rnacentral:rRNA from 1 species